UACGGGGGGGGUAAGCGUUGUUCGGAAUUACUGGGCGUAAAGGGCUCGUAGGCGGCCAACUAAGUCAGACGUGAAAUCCCUCAGCUUAACUGGGGAACUGCGUCUGAUACUGGAUAGCUUGGAUCCGGGAGAGGGAUGCGGAAUUCCAGGUGUAGCGGUGAAAUGCGUAGAUAUCUGGAGGAACACCGGUGGCGAAGGCGGCAUCCUGGACCGGCAUUGACGCUGAGGCGCGAAAGCUAGGGGAGCAAACGGG
rnacentral:rRNA from 1 species